UACGUAGGGGGCGAGCGUUGUCCGGAUUCAUUGGGCGUAAAGAGCUCGUAGGCGGCUUGGCAAGUCGGGUGUGAAAACUCCAGGCUCAACCUGGAGACGCCACCCGAUACUGCCAUGGCUUGAGUCCGGUAGGGGACCACGGAAUUCCUGGUGUAGCGGUGGAAUGCGUAGAGAUCCGGAAGAACACCGGUGGCGAAGGCGGUCUGCUGGGCCAAGACUGACGCUGAGGCGCGACAGCGUGGGGAGCAAACAGG
rnacentral:rRNA from 1 species